GACGAACGCUGGCGGCGUGCUUAACACAUGCAAGUCGAACGGUAAGGCCCUUCGGGGUACACGAGUGGCGAACGGGUGAGUAACACGUGGGUGAUCUGCCCUGCACUUCGGGAUAAGCCUGGGAAACUGGGUCUAAUACCGGAUAGGGCCAUGGACUUCACGGUUUGUGGUGGAAAGCUUUUGCGGUGUGGGAUGGGCCCGCGGCCUAUCAGCUUGUUGGUGGGGUAAUGGCCUACCAAGGCGACGACGGGUAGCCGGCCUGAGAGGGUGUCCGGCCACAUUGGGACUGAGAUACGGCCCAGACUCCUACGGGAGGCAGCAGUGGGGAAUAUUGCACAAUGGGCGCAAGCCUGAUGCAGCGACGCCGCGUGAGGGAUGACGGCCUCGGUUGUAA
rnacentral:rRNA from 1 species